GAGGGGGACCAGCCGUCCCAGUUUGCCUGGAACUGUCCUGGUUUAGCAGUCAAAGCCCCUCAUCAUGGGAAACUCCUCAGUCCCAGGCAAACUGGGACAGCUGGUCACCCUAAGACAUC
rnacentral:pre_miRNA from 1 species